rnacentral:rRNA from 1 species
AGCUUCAAGAAUACGCGGAGGAGGUGGCCCGGGUCGGCGUCGGCGCCGUCCGGCGCGGGCCACGGGCCCGCUUCCAAGUGCAUCUGCGCGCCGGCCACCCACGCCGGGUCCUUCAAGUGACGCUUUCACCGCACCAACUUCCAGGGCCAGGGAAGUCGCCCUUCUUCGCCCCCUUCACCGGCCACGGCCAACGCGGUGCCGCGGCACCCGGCCUCGCCGUCCUCGUCCUCCAGCACCAUCGUGACCCAGUGA